rnacentral:rRNA from 1 species
UCCUACGGGAGGCAGCAGUGGGGAAUAUUGCACAAUGGGCGCAAGCCUGAUGCAGCAACGCCGCGUGAGGGACGAAGGCCUUCGGGUUGUAAACCUCUUUUAGUAGGGAAGAAGCGACUGGGUUUUCCUGGGAGUGACGGUACCUGCAGAAAAAGCACCGGCUAACUACGUGCCAGCAGCCGCGGUAAUACGUAGGGUGCAAGCGUUGUCGCGUAAUUAUUGGGGCGUAAAGAGCUCGUAGGCGGUUUGUCGCGUCUGCUGUGAAAACCCGAGGCUCAACCUCGGGCCUGCAGUGGGUACGGGCAGACUAGAGUGCGGUAGGGGAGAUUGGAAUUCCUGGUGUAGCGGUGGAAUGCGCAGAUAUCAGGAGGAACACCAAUGGCGAAGGCAGAUCUCUGGGCCGUAACUGACGCUGAGGAGCGAAAGCAUGGGGAGCGAACAGGAUUAGAUACCCUGGUAGUCCAUGCCGUAAACGUUGGGAACUAGAUGUGGGGACCAUUCCACGGUCUCCGUGUCGCAGCUAACGCACUAAGUUCCCCGCCUGGGGAGUACGGCCGCAAGGCUAAAACUCAAAGGAAUUGACAGGGGCCCGCACAAGCGGCGGAGCAUGCGGAUUAAUUCGAUGCAACGCGAAGAACCUUACCAAGGCUUGACAUAUACCGGAAACGGCUGGAAACAGUCGCCCCGCAAGGUCGGUAUACAGGUGGUGCAUGGUUGUCGUCAGCUCGUGUCGUGAGAUGUUGGGUUAAGUCCCGCAACGAGCGCAACCCUCGUCCUAUGUUGCCAGCACGUAAUGGUGGGAACUCAUGGGAUACUGCCGGGGUCAACUCGGAGGAAGGUGGGGAUGACGUCAAAUCAUCAUGCCCCUUAUGUCUUGGGCUUCACGCAUGCUACAAUGGCCGGUACAAAGGGCUGCGAUACCGCAAGGUGGAGCGAAUCCCAAAAAGCCGGUCUCAGUUCGGAUUGAGGUCUGCAACUCGACCUCAUGAAGUCGGAGUCGCUAGUAAUCGCAGAUCAGCAACGCUGCGGUGAAUACGUUCCCGGGCCUUGUACACACCGCC